CAGCGAAUCUGGAAAAUGUCAAACAUUCAGGACUUUGAUUUUGUCACAGAGCGUCCCUCCCAGAACAUUCUGAUGAAAAGCAAAACAAAAUGAGGAAGAAAAUGAUGCUCUGCCUCAGCGCGUUGCACAAUAACGCAGGUCCUGCCUACAAGGUUACUCUGUCCCUGGAAGAUGAGGAUAGGAGAGAAGGAAACUGGAGCUGCCCUGAAGCUCUGCAAGAACGUAUUUAAGUGGAAAUAAUAAUGAUGCAAUUAUUUUUUCCAUAAAAAUAACGUUUAGUUGAGAAUUCGAUCCUUCCAAAAAGAAAGCAGUAAUGACUAAAAAUCUUCUGUUGCAAAAUGACUUUGGGGAUAAUGGAGUUACUGGGGGGAGGCUCCUUCAGUGCUGCAGCUCCUCUCGAAGCUUUUUGUGUGCGUGUGUUUAAAAUGAGAAUGUGCAAAAUGUGUUGGCAACAAACAGCGUGGUCUUUGCUUCACUUCUCCUGAAGUGGUGCCUUCCUUUGGAUGCACAUCGGAGCAGAGGGUAGCUGGCUGAGCUGCACCGUGUGGGAUGGUGCUGAGUGAGGGAUCUCCUCUUACCUGGGCUCUGAUUUUUUUGGUUUUGUAUCUUACUUGAAGAAAUGUGUAUUUUUAUAUCUAUAUCAGAAGGGAGCAUCAGGUUGUGCCACUCGUGUUUCGAUAUGGGGCUCUGCUGAUUUUUGCCCCCUUUUUGCACUUUUUCCUUUGGUUUGUGGGUUGUAUGCUCGGAGUCCCUCAAAUUUAUUCAAUGGGGACCUGAGCUGCUGCCCUUGCUUGGUGUCUCCAGUCUCUCACAUCAGUUAGCGCUGUGCACCCUCUUAUGGCUUUCUCAUGGGGAGAAAUUAGGCAGCUGGAAUAGGAUGCCCCUGCCUAGAGAAGAGGUUUUCUUCCAUCAGGUUCCCAGAUGGGCAGGUGAUGGAGGCAGGCCCCUUGUUUAACCUUGCACGUGGAGCAGCGGGGAUUUAACAGGGAGGCUGUUGGAAGCGCGGUGCUUUGGGGAGGAGGAGGCAGGGCUGCCCUGCGCUGCUUCGCUUCAGACACUUCUGCUUUGGUCGCUUCGAGUGAAUGAUGGAUGAGCUUCCCGGGCAGGUUUUGAAGGGUCUGAAAAAUGUGCCGGGGUUGCCUCCAUUCCUCACUUUAUAUUUCUGACACGGGAAGGGAGGAUGAAGGAUGCGAGGCACCUUCCUUUAGAUUUGCGGAACUUAGGCCUGACGCGGUUAAUCAUUAGGAUUUCUGAUGGAAAUGGAGCACAGACCUGCACGUGUUGUCACCGAGGAGGAGUGCUGGGCAGAGCUCAUGUGCAGGGAGAUGCUCGAGUGGUGCAGCCAGUGCCGUGGGACGGGAAGGCAGGGCAGGGUGGGGUGGUGAACCCCAGGGCUGAACCUCCAGCUGAGGCUGCUGAGCUUCCCGAAGGCAGAGCACACACACAGACUCUUCUCCUUUCCCUUUGUUAAAUCAAAGGAGAACCACUAAUUAUUUUAAACCUCUUCUUUGUUUUUCUGCCUUUUGGUUGACUGCAGAUGUACCAGGGGUCACAGCUGACCUUUUUAGUCUUCACCUGAGCACCUGGUGUGGUCUGGUGUCCCACCUUGUGGUGCUUGAUUGAGGGCCUGGGGAGGUACAGAGGCUUUAAACAAAAUGAUUUUCCAUCAGAAACAGAGAAAAGGAUAAACUCACUUCUGCUCUCUGCCGUGUAGAAAUCCUGCCACUUCCUCAGAAACGUCCUUAGGAAAGACCUGUCAAAUGUAAUGUUGCUGGAAAAUUUUUGGCCAGCCUUAGAGAGGCCCAGCUGUGUGCACACGUGUCCGUGCUGCCUGCGUUAGCUCUGGGUUUGUGUGCCUCAGAGCAGGAGGCUUUAUUCAUCCGAUGUGACCACCGCCGAGGCUCAGAAAUACCACCUGACUCUGCUGCCAAAACCCAUCGGGCCCAAACAUGAGCGAAUCUGCAUUGUUGGGGGCGGGUUUGAGGCCCUGUGUGUUGCAUUAUUUUCUCUGUAAAGCAAAGCAAAGGUGGCACUUGACCCCGAGAGCGUUGGAGUUGCCUCCAGAAACCUGGUGGGAUGUGAGUGGUGAUGGGGAAGGGGGUAGCGGGGUCAGAGAAACAAAAAGCAUCUGGAUUGCGGGAGGAAUUGGCUCUGGAGAAGUGGGAAGAUUGUUUCAUUUCUCUGCCUGUCCUUCCAUUUCUCCAGGAUUUAUUGCCAUGAAGAUUGCUCCCGUUCUCAUUAACAAACCUCUGCUCCCUGCUGCCAUGGGGUCGCUAUUAACCCCUCAGUGGUGUGUGCGCGGGGAGAGGUUGUAGCAGCUGUUCACAUCAUCUCCACCACAACGAGCCUCCAGAAACACGAAAAGCAGAUUCAGAAAGCCUCUAAAACUGCACUGAAUCCCUGGUGUUUCUUGGAAAAUGCCCUCGUUCCCCAGGGAUGCUGAGGAUCCCAGCUGUUGGUGUGGCUGAGCGAUGGGAACGCACGGGGCUGGCAGCUUUGGGACUGGUCGCAGUUACCCUCCUGUUCUCUGCAUCAGGGUAACGAGGUGAUGAGGCUCUUAUGGGGCUGGAACUGUGUCUGAUAAUUAAAAAUGAAAAUCCUUAGGAGAUCUAGUGCAGGAAUAUUGCUGAAGAAAAAGAGCAGUGCGGGGAGGUGAGGGAACAUUGGGGACUGGAUGAGCAUGCUGAGUGCGGGCAUGCAAAGAGUGAAAAUGCUUUGUCGAAGGACUUUUCCAGUGAAAAAGGGGUUUGCAGAUCCAAUCAAAGAUUUUAAUGGAAAAUAAAAAAAAAACAAAGCUAAUUUGAGGGUACUGCAUGCUUUUCAGUUCUUGGCAGUUACUUUUUUGGAUUUGGAAAAGAAAUACAUGCAUUUGAAAUCUCACAUCUGACCAUUGUUCUGGAAAAAAUUGCCAAUGACUUGCUGAAAAAUGAACUAUUAAAAGGAAAAAAAAAAGAAAAGAAAAUUGAAAAGACCCAAUGAAACACUACCUUCAGGCUUUGAGAUUUGAAAUUGAGAAAUUGUCAACAAAGUUAAUUCUGGAACUUUUUCAAGAAAAGGUGAUUUCCUUAAAAUGCUUGCUGCUUGUUUCACAGACCUCCCUGAGCCGUUGUCAGACCUUGGUGUCUGAUGGCCCUUUGCAGAAGUGAUGCUCCAUGUGUCUGUGCAUUUUUUUUUAGUGGAUUUGCAUUUAAGGCAUGUUUAGCAGUGCAGUUGUUCCCCAAGCCUCUGUG